rnacentral:misc_RNA from 1 species
AUCAAGUGGUAUAUAGGUGUUUGCCUUGCUAUCUUCAUCUAAAUUGCAGCCAUUGAAACAUUCAUCCGGUAUUCUGUCAUCACAAGAAGCUAAAGUAGUUUUACUGCCGAUGAACUUAGGAUUGCAUGAUGCAGGAACUACACUCUCGGAUGCAAGAGGCUGUGAACCCUCGAGCAUAGCACAUUUUCCAUCUUUCAUAGGAGUACAAAAAUGUGUGCCUUCUAUUUUCUGCAGAAAGAUUUUAGUCUCAGGCCGUCUAAUAGUCACACUCUUAACAACAUCAAACUCUGGCUUCUUAUGACCAUUGAAAGGAGCCACACAUUCAUUAACCUGGUCAACACUUUGACG